UCACGGCAGAGGAUAAUAAUUUUACUAGACCAAAUCCGAAAUGAAGUUGACUCUCGUCGCCAUAUUUGUACUUGCUUUCGUCAUCACAGCACGCGGCUGCAGCACAAGCGCCAAAGAUGGAUGCGUGGACAUUGGGUGUACCGAUCGGUCAGUGCUCACUUGCAAGGGCGACGGCUGUAAAUGUACGAGCUUCUGGUGUGUACAUCAUCUGUAUUACUGCCACAAAUAACAACGUGACUGGGAAGGCUGACGAACAUCGAGCCCUCCGGGUCUGCAAUAAAUGUUGCGAAACGUGC